UCUGUUCCUAAGACAGAGGAGAUUCUCUAAAAGGGUUCUGUAGUUGGAAAUACUAGACAGCUAUAGUGUGCUAAGUUGGUAGGUAGAAUCUGCAAUUAAAAAGAGGAUCAUCAGGUUAUAAUUUUAUAUAUAGUAUAAUUUAGUCCUUUUGGUUUUGUAGAUUGAGACCAAUGAGAGAGAUGGAAUCAUUUUCCUGGGGUGACAAAGCAUAACAGUUUGCAGGACUUUCAGUGCUAAAAUUGGAUGUAUCACAGGCAAACUUGAAUAGGUGGUCUUAGUGAACUUACUAAAAGUUAUUUAUUUGCAAAACAUUUUACUAAUAUUCAGAUACCACAUCCAUGGGAUAUCAACACAAUUUUCAAGUUAAUUUGAUACAUCAAAAGGAGUUCAUUACACAGGUAAUUGAUGGCAUAGUUCUGAUGUAGAGUGAAGCAUUCUUGGGUAUUAGAUGUUAAUGGAUGAUUUGGGAACUAUUAGGGACAUAAAAUUUUUAUUGUUAGAGCAGUGGGCUAUGUAAUUAAUCUCAUAGUAGGCCCUUUAAUAAUGUUGCCCUGCCCUAAGGCGAUCUUAGCUAAUUCUAGGGCAGAUAAGACAGGCCCACCUUGAAAGCAGAAAGCACUCACACUCCAGGUUGUAGCUGCCUUCUGUAUGUGAUCAGCCACACAGUCCAUGAGGUAACUUUGGAAAGAUCAACAGCUUGCAUAUAGCCGGUCUAUGUAAGGAUAGUAGGGGCCUUGGUGUCACACUGGAACACAGGGCAAAUUUUACUUCUUACUAGAAAUAGCAAGAGUAAUAGAAGGCCAGAUCUCAAA
rnacentral:lncRNA from 1 species